AGCGAUUCUCCUGCCUCAGCCUCCUGACUAGCUGGAACUACAGGCUCUUCCAGAAUCUUGCCACUCUUCCAUCAAGAAACACAGUCUGUUUCCCACCCCAUCCCCUGAAACUGAGCAUUAUUUUGCCGCUGCAUUGACUGAUGGAAUGCAUCCCGACUUUUGCGCCUGGCUUUUUGCCUUGGGAUAUGGGUUUUGGGAGCUUUGAGAUAAUAUGUAAGAAGUUUGGCUGCCCUGAAGCAUCCCUGCUGGAGAGACCUGGUGGAGCGAGCUCAGAGGACGCCUGAGGAGCCACAGCUGUCCCUGUACCAGCUACUUGAGUCUUCCCAGCCCAAGUGCCAGACAGCUAAGUGAUUGAGCCUUUAAGUGAGUCCAGCUUUCAGCCCCGUGCCUCCGCAGCUGACUCUGAGUGCAGCACAGCUGAGUUGUCCCAGUGGAGUACAAUCCAGGUUACAAAGUCUUGAACAAAAGGUUCCUUUGGUCUUGAGAUAAAGGUCAGGUUUCUGUGAACCGACUGGCCGCAGCCUUUCUUCUCCUGCCGUCUGAGGUGGAGGUGAGCUGAGGCGCCUGGAGUGUUCUAUUUGGUAGAGCAGAAGGCCCUUGAGAGAGAAACAGUCUGUCCUGCUGCUACCUCCGUAUGUAUCCUCAGAACCUGGCACAGCACCUGGCCUCAGUGGACACCCAUAGAAGUCUUGGCUGAUGAGAAAGGAAGGCAAUGGCUGUGACUGAGAUCGUGAGGGAUGACGAGCGUGAAAGAUGAAUGCCUCCCCAGGGAAUCUGCAGUCAUCAGCUCUAAGGAAGCUUCUUUGGGAUAUGUCACGUAAGAGGUUGUAUCAUGGCAAGAGGGGAAAAUAUCUCAACAGCAGUUUCAUGCAGUUCCCCUUAAAUCCU
rnacentral:lncRNA from 1 species